GGAGUUAGCCGGUGCUUCUUCUGCGAGUAACGUCACAGAUGUAAGGUAUUAACUUACACCCUUUCCUCCUCGCUGAAAGUGCUUUACAACCCGAAGUCCUUCUUCACACACGCGGCAUGGCUGCAUCAGGGUUUCCCCCAUUGUGCAAUAUUCCCCACUGCUGCCUCCCGUAGGAGUCUGGGCCGUGUCUCAGUCCCAGUGUGGCUGAUCAUCCUCUCAGACCAGCUAGGGAUCGUCGCCUAGGUGAGCCUUUACCUCACCUACUAGCUAAUCCCACCUGGGCUUAUCCAUCAGCGCAAGGCCCGAAGGUCCCCUGCUUUCCCCCGUAGGGCGUAUGCGGUAUUAGCAGUCGUUUCCAACUGUUAUCCCCCACAAAUGGGCAAAUUCCCAGGCAUUACUCACCCGUCCGCCGCUCGUCAUCUUCAAAAGCAAGCUUUUGAAAUGUUACCGCUCGACUUGCAUGUGUUAGGCCUGCCGCCAGCGUUCAAUCUGAGCCAGAAUCGAACCCUGA
rnacentral:rRNA from 1 species